rnacentral:misc_RNA from 1 species
CACCGCCCAAGACUCGUUUCUUGGUUUUGGGGCUUACGGGACCCUUCGGGGUCCGGCAGCCCUCAAAUUCAGCGGCGGUCACCCGUGGAGGUAUUCUCCCCUAGCGCAGUAGAGCAAGCAUCAGCUGCCGCUUCGGGACCCCCGGGAGGCCUGCCGUCAAGCACGCCAGCUCACCCCAAGCUGCCGAACAUCACUCGG